rnacentral:lncRNA from 1 species
CUCAAGGACCCCCUCAGACGCAGUACACCUCCCCCAUAGCUGGCCCAUAGCCACAUGGAGCCCCACAGUCCCCAGCAGCACCCCAUGUCCCCCACUGGGCUUCCACGGAAUCCUUCUAUUUCCUCCCUCAGACCUCCUUUACACCUCCAAGAUCCCCCCUGGGAACUCACUGAACCCCCAUGUUCCCUGACAGGACCCCCAUCACCAUCCCAGGACCCCCAUAGCCCACCUUUGGCCUCUCCUCCCCCCGACCUGCCUCCAGAUCCCGUACAACCUCACAGUGCUGUGGCAGGGCUGGCUUCUGCAGCUGACUUGGAUUUCUUCUGCCACUGUCCCGUGAAGGAGUUGAUUUGCUUCAGUCCAUCCCUGCUCCGUUCCUGGUUCAAGCCAAGCUCCAGUCCCUUCCCUGGUCUCAGUGAGAUCAGUUUGUUCUGUUCUCAUGCACUUACAGAAACAGAAGCUACCAACCCACCAAACCCUGGGACAGGUAUUUCCCUACAGAAGCAUUCAUGUUCUUCUUCUGGCCCCUUUGGCCAGUUCCCAGCUCUCCAAACUGAGGCGUACGGCUGCAGCCCUCCCCAUGGCUUCUUUGGGGCAGCUGUGGGGCAGCUCCACCCAGAGGAGGAGAUGCCUUUUCCCCACACGCAACUGGUUCUACAUCCACAUGAGGUGAGGACGUGGGGUCGUGUGUGACAUGGUGGUCCAGCAGUGUCAGAGUUACGGGGUGAUGUGGGGCUAUAGGCUCAGAUUGGGUGACAUGGAGUUCAUGGUCCCAUGGGGUUGUAUGGUCGGGGUGAGGUGGGGGCAGGGAUCCCAGAGUCAUGGGGACACAUGGCAUUGGAUCACAGUGUGAUGGGAGCAGGCAGAGUCAGGGAGUCACAGGGUCAUGUGGGGGUAUGGUUCCCCCAGGGCUGCGGGUCACGUGCAGCCAUGGGGUCACGCACAUACAGGGUGAUGAGGUCAUCUUGGGUUAUGGCUCAUGUGGGGUUACGGCUCAGGGCCCCACCUUUGGGCCACAGGGACGCCCAGUCUCCUCUCAAGAUGAAAUGAAACCACUCCAACACUUCCCCCCCCAACCUCUUUUUACCUCAAACUGCUCCCCACAUCCUCCCAUACUCUCUAUGUCCCCAUACUACCCCAUACCCCUGUGUCCCACCUGCAGCUCACGUCUUGUCUUCUCCUGAACAGCAUUCUGCUCCUGAAGGCUGUGUCCCCAUAUCCCCCAAUGUCCCUAUAUCCCCCCCACGGCCCCCACAGAGCCCCAUAGCUCCUCAAAAACCUUUUCCCAGUACACCUCCCCCCGGAAACCUGGGACCUCACAGAGCCCCACAGUCCCCAGCAGCAACCCACGUCCCCCUCUGAGCUCCCGCUGAACCCCCCUAUUUCCUUUCUCAGAUAUCCCUUACACCCUCAGCCCCCCCCCCUGCUUCUCGGACUCCCACAGUUUCUGAGAGGACCGCCAUCACCAUCCCAGGAUCCCCAUAUCCCACCGAUGAGGAACCCCACAUCAAUCCACAUCUCAGGAUGGGGCUUCAGCUGUGCCCCGAUGCAUUCAUUCAAGAGAGGAGAAUGAAUGAGCGUAAGGGGGCGCCUUUCCUCCUGACAUUACCCACCGCCUGCGUGUUGGCUGUGCCGUGCCAGCAGCAUUUUGUCCUCGAGCUGUGAGUGCAGAUGCGCGUGCAAGGGAGCAGCGGAGGCUCCUGGGAACAGGAGAUUGCUGGGAGCAGCAGAACUCCCGUGAGAGUGCUGGAGAGCACAGGG